GACGAACGCUGGCGGCGUGCUUAACACAUGCAAGUCGAACGGAAAGGCCCUGCUUUUGUGGGGUGCUCGAGUGGCGAACGGGUGAGUAACACGUGAGUAACCUGCCCUUGACUUUGGGAUAACUUCAGGAAACUGGGGCUAAUACCGGAUAGGAGCUCCUGCUGCAUGGUGAGGGUUGGAAAGUUUCGGCGGUUGGGGAUGGACUCGCGGCUUAUCAGCUUGUUGGUGGGGUAGUGGCUUACCAAGGCUUUGACGGGUAGCCGGCCUGAGAGGGUGACCGGACACAUUGGGACUGAGAUACGGCCCAGACUCCUACGGGAGGCAGCAGUGGGGAAUAUUGCACAAUGGGCGGAAGCCUGAUGCAGCAACGCCGCGUGCGGGAUGACGGCCUUCGGGUUGUAAACCGCUUUCGCCUGUGACGAAGCGUGAGUGACGGUAAUGGGUAAAGAAGCACCGGCUAACUACGUG
rnacentral:rRNA from 1 species